AUGUGAAUCACCUGGGGAUUUUGCAAAAAUGUAGAUUCUGAUUUGGCAGAUGUGGGUGGGCCCUGAGAGUCUGCAUUUCUAGCGCGUUCCCGGGUGAUGUUAAU
rnacentral:pre_miRNA from 1 species